GAUGAACGCUGGCGGCGUGCCUAAUACAUGCAAGUCGAGCGAACAGACGAGGAGCUUGCUCCUCUGACGUUAGCGGCGGACGGGUGAGUAACACGUGGAUAACCUACCUAUAAGACUGGGAUAACUUCGGGAAACCGGAGCUAAUACCGGAUAAUAUAUUGAACCGCAUGGUUCAAUAGUGAAAGACGGUUUUGCUGUCACUUAUAGAUGGAUCCGCGCCGCAUUAGCUAGUUGGUAAGGUAACGGCUUACCAAGGCAACGAUGCGUAGCCGACCUGAGAGGGUGAUCGGCCACACUGGAACUGAGACACGGUCCAGACUCCUACGGGAGGCAGCAGUAGGGAAUCUUCCGCAAAGGGCGAUAGCCUGACGGAGCAACGCCGCGUGAGUGAUGAAGGUCUUCGGAUCGUAAAACUCUGUUAUUAGGGAAGAACAAAUGUGUAAGUAACUAUGCACGUCUUGACGGUACCUAAUCAGAAAGCCACGGCUAACUACGUG
rnacentral:rRNA from 1 species